GAUGAACGCUGGCGGCGUGCUUAACACAUGCAAGUCGAACGGAGUUAUUUAGAAGCUUGCUUUUGAAUAACUUAGUGGCGGACGGGUGAGUAACGCGUGGGUGACCUGCCUUAUACUGGGGGGAUAACACUUAGAAAUAGGUGCUAAUACCGCAUAAGCGCACAGUUCUGCAUGGGACAGUGUGAAAAACUGAGGUGGUAUAAGAUGGACCCGCGUCUGAUUAGCUAGUUGGUGAGGUAACGGCCCACCAAGGCGACGAUCAGUAGCCGGCCUGAGAGGGUGAACGGCCACAUUGGGACUGAGACACGGCCCAAACUCCUACGGGAGGCAGCAGUGGGGAAUAUUGCACAAUGGGGGAAACCCUGAUGCAGCGACGCCGCGUGAGUGAAGAAGUUAUUCGUAACGUAAAGCUCUAUCAGCAGGGAAGAAAAUGACGGUACCUGACUAAGAAGCCCCGGCUAACUACGUG
rnacentral:rRNA from 1 species